rnacentral:tRNA from 1 species
GCCGGGGUAGCCAAGGUGGUUACGGCGCGGCUCUGAAAAAGCUGAGAUGUCGGUUCAACUCCGACCCCCGGCACCA